rnacentral:rRNA from 1 species
AUUGAACGCUGGCGACAGGCCUAACACAUGCAAGUCGAACGGUAACAGGAAGCAGCUUGCUGCUUUGCGGACGAGUGGCGGACGGGUGAGUAAUGUCUGGGAAACUGCCCGAUGGAGGGGGAUAACUACUGGAAACGGUAGCUAAAACCGCAUAACGUCGCAAGACCAAAGAGGGGGACCUUAGGGCCUCUUGCCAGCGGAUGUGCCCAGAUGGGAUUAGCUAGUGGGUGGGGUAACGGCUCACCUAGGCGACGAUCCCUAGCUGGUCUGAGAGGAUGACCAGCCACACUGGAACUGAGACACGGUCCAGACUCCUACGGGAGGCAGCAGUGGGGAAUAUUGCACAAUGGGCGCAAGCCUGAUGCAGCCAUGCCGCGUGUAUGAAGAAGGCCUUCGGGUUGUAAAGUACUUUCAGCGGGGAGGAAGGGAAUAAAGUUAAUACCUUUGCGCAUUGACGUUACCCGCAGAAGAAGCACCGGCUAACUCCGUG